AACGUAGGUGGCGAGCGUUAUCCGGAUUUACUGGGCGUAAAGGGUGUGCAGGCGGGCUGUUAAGUGGGGUAUGAAAUCGCCCGGCUCAACCGGGCUAGGUUAUGCCAGACUGGCAGUCUAGAGAGCGAGAGAGGGACGUGGAAUUCCGGGUGUAGUGGUGAAAUGCGUAGAGAUCCGGAGGAACCCCAGAGGCGAAGGCGGCGUCCUGGCUCGCAUCUGACGCUCAGACACGACAGCAUGGGGAGCGAACGGG
rnacentral:rRNA from 1 species